UAGGUGGCAAGCGUUAUCCGGAUUUAUUGGGUGUAAAGGGCGUGUAGGCGGGAAUGCAAGUUAGAUGUGAAAGUUUGCGGCUCAACCGUAAAAUUGCAGUUGAAACUGGAAGCCUUGAGUGUACACAGGGGUGCCGGAAUUCAUGGUGUAGCGGUGAAAUGCUUAGAUAUCAUGAAGAACUCCGACCGCGAAGGCAAGUGCCCGGAGUACAACUGACGCUGAGGCUCGAAAGUGCGGGUAGCAA
rnacentral:rRNA from 1 species